rnacentral:rRNA from 1 species
AGAAGCUCAGUUCGGGCCAAUCAGGUUCAGGCAUUUUUUCCCCUUGGAAUCGUGAAGAUUCACACCUAUAGCAGCCUAGAAGAGUAGGAAAAGAAAAGGCAAAAAAAAAAAGGACAGAGAACAGCCUAGCACAAGACUUAGCAGGAGCAGGCUGACCCAAGUCAACGAAUUCCUCGCUGGCUUUCCACUCGCGAGCAUGGCCCACGAACCCAACCCGACACAACCCACCCAACUCGGUCCGGCCCGGCCGCUCCACUACGCCCUCCCACUGACUUUUUACCACCGCACACGCCGAGCAAUACAAAAGCGGGAGGCGUCGGCAGCAGCCGCACUGGACCGGAGCAGACACGCCGCUGCUUCCUUCCCUUCCCCUUUCCCCACCUGCGUGCGAGCGGCCACCCAGACCAACCGCGUCCAGAUCCGGCGGCCGAUCUCUCCCGCCCGUCUCCCCAUGGCGGCCGGAGCCCUGGUCCUGGCCCUCGUAGCGGCGCUCGCGGUCGCGCUGGCGGGGGCAAACUCCGAGGGCGACGCGCUCUCGGCGCUGCGCCGCAGCCUGCGGGACCCCGGCGGCGUGCUGCAGAGCUGGGACCCCACCCUCGUCAACCCCUGCACCUGGUUCCACGUCACCUGCGACCGCGACAACCGCGUCACCCGCCUAGAUCUUGGUAACUUGAAUUUAUCUGGUCAUCUGGUGCCCGAGCUUGGUAAAUUGGAGCAUUUGCAAUACCUGGAACUUUACAAAAAUAAUAUUGAAGGAACGAUCCCAUCGGAACUUGGUGAUUUGAAGAACCUAAUUAGCUUGGACUUGUACAAGAACAAUGUUUCGGGGACUAUACCUCCAACACUUGGGAAGUUGAAGUCCCUUGUAUUCUUGCGGCUCAACGGCAAUCGUUUGACUGGACCAAUUCCAAGGGAGCUGGCUGGAAUAUCUAGCCUCAAAGUUGUUGAUGUUUCUGGUAAUAAUCUGUGUGGAACAAUUCCCACGACUGGACCAUUUGAGCACAUUCCUCUCAGCAACUUCGAGAGGAACCCGCGCUUGGAAGGCCCAGAGCUACAAGGCCUGGCUGUAUAUGAAACCAACUGCUAAACGGCUACGGGAAGGUGGAAAAUGCUAGGAAGUAACGGGCGUACAAGGUUUACCGGAGAUCGGGGUGAUAUAGAUGGUUAUGUCCGCAGUUUGCCACUUUGUAAUGUUCCUCCCUACAUAGCGCUGUCAUGCCAUGCGUGCCUUGCUCUCAGCAGGGAAGUUGAGUUGUUGUAUGUUGUGUAGCAGAACGAUGCUUUCUGCCUGUGGAAGUAAAACAUAAGAUUGCCUAUGUGUCAUGACUCAAAUGGUAUUGUCAUCUACUCAUCUCUAUUAUGGCAUUUUUUGCUUGCUUGCUCGUGCAAUACAUCAAUUAGAUCUACGAGUAGCAUUCUAGCUGAUGGAUAACUGAUGUAGGGCUGAUAUGGCAUUGGUGUGAGAUGUCCAAGCAAGAGUAGCUGGCAGACUUCCAACCUCUUUUCUGACCUGAAGUAUAUAUCAAAUUAAAUUCUUAUAGCGGUGCCAACCUCAAAUGCCAACCAAAACAAUUGAAGUAAACGGAUGACUGUAGCUGAUAUUUUGUACUGCCCCUGUCAGUUCCAUCAUACCUGUCCUUUUGGAGAUGGGCAAAGUUGACCUCUAGUAAUAUCUUGAAAAAUAUUCAGUUUGGAUAGCUAAAAAUCAUGUGUAAGUUUGUCUCAAAAGCAUCUUCACAACUUGUACAAGUGAAAUUACUUUUUUGACAGGCAAAAAAGUUACCAGUGACAGUGAUUUUCUUCAGAAUAAGUUAGUGGGGCAAUUAUUUGGAGAUGACAUCUGUCAGACACGAUCGGGCAUUCGGGCUUAGGCUUGGGCGAUUGCAGCGGGCUCACUGAGAGUGAUCGACUGGUGCCACCGGGCCAGGGUCGGACCCCAACUCGCUCCCCGCAGCCGGGCCGGCCGUGAUGCUUCCGCUGCGGCGCUUGUCGGCGGCCUGCCGCCGGCGUGGGCUCGCCCAGUUCGCCACCGGAAUCCCCCGGGAGGCGGCGGACGCGGUCGUGGUGGGCGCCGGCGCGGUCGGCCUCGCGGUGGCGCGCGCGCUGGCCAUGGCGGGGCGCGACGUGGUGAUGGUCGAGGCGGCCUCCAGCUUCGGCACCGGCACCAGCUCCCGCAACAGCGAGGUCAUCCACGCCGGCAUCUACUACCCUCCCCGCAGCCUCAAGGCUAAUCUUUGUGUAAGAGGAAGGGAAAUGCUCUACAAGUACUGCACAGAACGAGCAAUCCCCCAUAAACGGCUCGGCAAACUUAUCGUUGCUACUGGUGUUGCAGAGACUGCAAAGCUGGACAUGCUCCUCAAGAGUGCUAAAGACAAUGGGGUGGAUGAUCUUCAGAUGAUGGAAGGUUCUCAGGCCAUGGAGAUGGAACCUGAACUUCGUUGUUUGAAAGCUUUGCUAUCACCUAGUACUGGGAUUGUUGACUCACAUUCAUUCAUGCUCUCCCUUUUGGCUGAUGCUGAAAAUCUAGGCGCAACCAUAUCAUAUAACACAGCAGUCAUCAGUGGACGUGUUGGAGAUGAAGGGAUCGAGCUUCAUAUUUCUGAAAGCAAAGAGCUGGAGAACCAUUCUAUUGGCUCUCCUGUACUCCCACAGAUUGUUUUGCUUCCAAAACUUCUGAUAAAUGCAGCAGGUUUGAGUGCAAUUCCACUUGCCAAAAGACUUGAUGGCCUUGCCCAAGCAUUUGUGCCCCCGGCUUACUAUGCCCGUGGAUGUUACUUCACCCUCUCACAAACCAAGAGUCCUUUCAGCCACUUAAUAUACCCUCUACCAGAGGAUGGUGGCAUAGGGGUCCAUGUCACACUAGACUUAAAUGGCCUUGUUAAAUUUGGACCAGAUGUUGAAUGGUUAGAUGGUAAAAUGGACGACAUGUCAUGUUUCCUGAAUAGGUUUGAUUACUCGGUGAACCCCACCCGAUGUUCUGGAUUUUACUCUGUGAUAAGGAAGUAUUUUCCAAAUCUCAAGGAUUGUUCUUUGGAGCCUGGUUAUUCUGGGAUCCGGCCAAAGCUUUCUGGCCCGGGACAGCGCCCUUCGGAUUUUGUUAUUCAGGGGGAGGAUGUCCACAGUAUUCCUGGGCUGGUUAACUUGUUUGGUAUAGAAUCCCCUGGUUUGACGUCAAGCUUGGCAAUUGGAGAACACAUAGUUUCAAGGUAUAACAACACUUGAUUCUCAAACAAUCGCCAAUCGAUGAAUUGCAGCUGGAUGAAUCCAGGACGGCUGGAGGCUCUCAUGUGAAUCAGCUUGUAAAGGCGUGACUCUCCAGCUUAUAGUUGAAUAAACAGAAUAUAUCGAUUGUAGGUUGAUGUAUAAAAUGUGGAUCCUCGCAUAGUUUUUGUGGGAAGAGGAUCCUCUGCAUUACCAGCUUGUGUCUCUAAGCAGAAUCAUAUGCAUUAGAUCGCCUGUCGGAACAUUUGAUGAAGAUUGGAUGGCCAGGAUUGAAUGGAAAACACGAUGGUAGCG